UACGGAGGGUGCAAGCGUUAUCCGGAUUCACUGGGUUAAAGGUGCGUAGGCGGCAGGUAAGUCCGUGGUGAAAUCUCUGAGCUUAACUCAGAAACUGCCAUGGAUACUAUUGUCUUGAAUAUUGUGGAGGUGAGCGGAAUAUGUCAUGUAGCGGUGAAAUGCUUAGAUAUGACAUAGAACACCAAUUGCGAAGGCAGCUCACUACACAGUUACUUGACGCUGAGGCACGAAGCGU
rnacentral:rRNA from 1 species